rnacentral:lncRNA from 1 species
CUGACUAGUAACCAUGAGGACACAGGUUCAAUCCCUGGCCUUGCUCAGUGAGUUAAGGAUCUGUGUUGCCAUGAGUUGUGGUAAGCCCUAACCUGGGAACUUCCAUAUGCUGCAGGUAUAGCCCUAAAAAAAAAAAAAAAAGAAAGAAAAGAAAAGUUAUUAUUUCAAUUUUAUUAUUUUCUUUUUAUUAAAUCUUGCUAGUGACUUUUUCUCCAUUUGCUCUAUGCCCUUUGAACAGUUUCCAAAGACUUUAAAUGAUUUCUUUUUUGUAGUUUUCACCAGUUAAAUUGUUUUUUGGGAGAGGGUCUGCUGAAUGCUUUACUUCGUGUUUCUGGAAGUCUUGCACUGAUUCUUUUUUUUUUUUAUAUCUCCGUAUUUAAUUGGAUUGAUGAGCCCUUGAUCACUCCAGUUGGAAGGACUGAGAGCUGAGAAAGUCACUAAGGACCGAGAGGACGGGAAAUAAUGACUCAGGGCCGGUCCCUGAGAAGAGCAGUGCUCAAUGCAAACCCUGGUUGCUUCUUAAGAUUUCUUUUUUUUUUUUUUUUUUUUGGUUUUUUUUGGUCUUUUUGCUAUUUCUUGGGCCGCUCCUGUGGCAUAUGGAGGUUCCCAGGCUAGGGGUCUAAUCGGAGCUGUGGCCACCAGCCUACGCCAGAGCCACAGCAACGCGGGAUCCGAGCCGCGUCUGCAACCUACACCACAGCUCACGGCAACGCCGGAUCCUUAACCCACAAAGCAAGGGCAGGGAUCGAACCCGAAACCUCAUGGUUCCUAGUCGGAUUCGUUACCACUGCGCCACGAUGGGAACUCAUAAUUGGAAGGGCAGUGACUCUGGUUGUUCACCCCUCCCUGAGGCUGUGCAUGAGGUAGAUGUUAUUACAGGCCCUGGGGUUUUUCUCCACUUCCCCCCUGUUGUAUGGCAGCCAUAGGGUUGGGCUGUGGAUGGCAGAUCCAUCCAAGGUCCUGCUUAAUCAAAGCAAACCAGUGAUCUCAUCCCCUUGGCAGUGAUUGGUUCAGAAAUGGGCCUAGGACCACUUUGGCUCAAUGGGAUUCAAGGGAAAGUUGCUGGGGGCUUCUGGGAUUUUUAUGUUUCUUGAGCUAGAGAGAAAGCUCCAGAAAAGGCUAGUUUCUCACUUUGGCUAGAUGUGAACAAGGAAACCAGGAGGCCUGAUGGCUCUGCCUGUCAUCCUCGGACCCUGAGGGGAAUCUCAUCGGGAUGAAAUCAGCGCUGUGGCCAGCAGUGUAGAGUUAGAAAGGCCUUGGGUCCUUUUCUAAUUUUAAAUUUUUUUUUUUUUUUUUGGUCUUUUUGCUCUUUCUUGGGCCGCUCCCGCAGCAUAUGGAGAUUCCCAAGCUAGGGGUCUAAUCGGAGCCGUAGCCACCGGCCUACGCCAGAGCCACAGCAACGCGGGAUCCGAGCCGCGUCUGCAACCUACACCACAGCUCACGGCAACGCCGGAUCGUCAACCCACUGAGCAAGGGCAGGGACCGAACCCGCAACCUCAUGGUUCCUAGUCAGAUUCGUUAACCACUGCGCCACGACGGGAACUCCUAAUUUUUAAAAAUUUUAAAUUAUGUUUUCUUUUUUAUUUUAGGGCCACACCCAUGGCACAUGGAAGUUCCGGGCUAGGGGUCAAAUUGGAGCCGCAGCUGCUGGCCUAUACCACAGCCAUGGCAACGCGGGAUCCAAGCCACAUCUGUGAUCUAUGUCACAACUCAUGGCAAUGCUGGAUCCUUAACCCAGUG